rnacentral:rRNA from 1 species
UCCUGGCUCAGGAUGAACGCUAGCUACAGGCUUAACACAUGCAAGUCGAGGGGAAACGACAUCGAAAGCUUGCUUUUGAUGGGCGUCGACCGGCGCACGGGUGAGUAACGCGUAUCCAACCUGCCCACCACUUGGGGAUAACCUUGCGAAAGUAAGACUAAUACCCAAUGACGUCUCUAGAAGACAUCUGAAAGAGAUUAAAGAUUUAUCGGUGAUGGAUGGGAAUGCGUCUGAUUAGCUUGUUGGCGGGGUAACGGCCCACCAAGGCGACGAUCAGUAGGGGUUCUGAGAGGAAGGUCCCCCACAUUGGAACUGAGACACGGUCCAAACUCCUACGGGAGGCAGCAGUGAGGAAUAUUGGUCAAUGGACGAGAGUCUGAACCAGCCAAGUAGCGUGCAGGAUGACGGCCCUAUGGGUUGUAAACUGCUUUUAUAAGGGAAUAAAGUGAGUCUCGUGAGACUUUUUGCAUGUACCUUAUGAAUAAGGACCGGCUAAUUCCGUGCCAGCAGCCGCGGUAAUACGGAAGGUCCGGGCGUUAUCCGGAUUUAUUGGGUUUAAAGGGAGCGUAGGCCGGAGAUUAAGCGUGUUGUGAAAUGUAGACGCUCAACGUCUGCACUGCAGCGCGAACUGGUUUCCUUGAGUACGCACAAAGUGGGCGGAAUUCGUGGUGUAGCGGUGAAAUGCUUAGAUAUCACGAAGAACUCCGAUUGCGAAGGCAGCUCACUGGAGCGCAACUGACGCUGAAGCUCGAAAGUGCGGGUAUCGAACAGGAUUAGAUACCCUGGUAGUCCGCACGGUAAACGAUGGAUGCCCGCUGUUGGUCUGAAUAGGUCAGCGGCCAAGCGAAAGCAUUAAGCAUCCCACCUGGGGAGUACGCCGGCAA